ensembl:lncRNA
CGGCUUUAUUAACUCAAUGAUGAUAUAUAUUUGUUUUUACAUUGUUUGCAAACUGAUAUGUGACACGUAUUAAUGUCAAAAUGACAUGCAAUGACAAACAAUGUGGGGCUCAAACACCCGAAUGACAGGUCCCCAUUGAUAAUAAGUAAAAGUAGAAAUAAUUUCAAAUUCUUUAUAUUAAGACAACCAGAUGGUGCCAUUUUCAUGUUUUGUAUUUUAUUUACAUAAAGCCAGGGACAUAUUGCAUCACUCCAUCUUUUACAAAUGAAGCGUUUCUGUUUAGUGAGUCCUCCAGAUCAGAGGCAGUAGGGAUGACCAGGGAUGUUCUCUGUUUAGUGAGUGUGCCAGAUCAGAGACAGUAGGGAUGACCAGGGAUGUUCUCUGUUUAGUGAGUCCUCCAGAUCAGAGGCAGUAGGGAUGGACCAGGGAUGUUCUCUGUUUAGUGAGUCCUCCAGAUCAGAGGCAGUAGGGAUGGACCAGGGAUGUUCUCUGUUUAGUGAGUCCUCCAGAUCAGAGGCAGUAGGGAUGACCAGGGAUGUUCUCUGUUUAGUGAGUCCUCCAGAUCAGAGACAGUAGGGAUGACCAGGGAUGUUCUCUGUUUAGUGAGUGUGCCAGAUCAGAGACAGUAGGGAUGACCAGGGAUGUUCUCUGUUUAGUGAGUCCUCCAGAUCAGAGGCAGUAGGGAUGGACCAGGGAUGUUCUCUGUUUACUGAGUCCUCCAGAUCAGAGGCAGUAGGGAUGACCAGGGAUGUUCUCUGUUUAGUGAGUCCUCCAGAUCAGAGACAGUAGGGAUGACCAGGGAUGUUCUCUGUUUAGUGAGUCCUCCAGAUCAGAGGCAGUAGGGAUGACCAGGGAUGUUCUCUGUUUAGUGAGUCCUCCAGAUCAGAGGCAGUAGGGAUGACCAGGGAUGUUGUCUGUUUAGUGAGUCCUCCAGAUCAGAGGCAGUAGGGAUGGACCAGGGAUGUUCUCUGUUUAGUGAGUCCUCCAGAUCAGAGGCAGUAGGGAUGACCAGGGAUGUUGUCUGUUUAGUGAGUCCUCCAGAUCAGAGGCAGUAGGGAUGGACCAGGGAUGUUCUCUGUUUAGUGAGUCCUCCAGACCAGAGGCAGUAGGGAUGGACCAGGGAUGUUCUCUGUUUAGUGAGUCCUCCAGAUCAGAGGCAGUAGGGAUGGACCAGGGAUGUUCUCUUGAUAAGCGC